UAUGGCGACCGGCGCACGGGUGAGUAACGCGUAUGCAACUUACCUAUCAGAGGGGGAUAGCCCGGCGAAAGUCGGAUUAAUACCCCAUAAAACAGGGGUCCCGCAUGGAAAUAUUUGUUAAAGAUUCAUCGCUGAUAGAUAGGCAUGCGUUCCAUUAGGCAGUUGGCGGGGUAACGGCCCACCAAACCGACGAUGGAUAGGGGUUCUGAGAGGAAGGUCCCCCACAUUGGAACUGAGACACGGUCCAA
rnacentral:rRNA from 1 species